AUUGAACGCUGGCGGCAGGCCUAACACAUGCAAGUCGAGCGGAUGAAGGGAGCUUGCUCCUGGAUUCAGCGGCGGACGGGUGAGUAAUGCCUAGGAAUCUGCCUGGUAGUGGGGGAUAACGUCCGGAAACGGGCGCUAAUACCGCAUACGUCCUGAGGGAGAAAGUGGGGGAUCUUCGGACCUCACGCUACCAGAUGAGCCUAGGUCGGAUUAGCUAGCUGGUGGGGUAAAGGCCUACCAAGGCGACGAUCCGUAACUGGUCUGAGAGGAUGAUCAGUCACACUGGAACUGAGACACGGUCCAGACUCCUACGGGAGGCAGCAGUGGGGAAUAUUGGACAAUGGGCGAAAGCCUGAUCCAGCCAUGCCGCGUGUGUGAAGAAGGUCUUCGGAUUGUAAAGCACUUUAAGUUGGGAGGAAGGGCAGUAAGUUAAUACCUUGCUGUUUUGACGUUACCAACAGAAUAAGCACCGGCUAACUUCGUG
rnacentral:rRNA from 1 species